AUGAAGAGUUCUACAAGGACUUUUGCUGUCCUUACCCACAUACACUGGGCGUUGUAUCGGCACAUGAAGGGCAGCGGCCAAAGGACAUGUGACAGCGCAGCGCUGGUAACUCACGGCGUGAUACCAGAAACCCCUCCGCAAGCCAUCCGCUGCGCUCGCACCGCUGCUCCCCGCGCUGUACUUUCCGGAUUUCGCCCAGCCCGGCUAACGUGGGACAGAUGGAAGUUCCGCUCAGCGUUCGGCCCUCGGGAAGGCAGCGCCGCGCCCGGAGGUGCGCUGUGACCUCGAGCAGCGCUCCGCGAACACCCGCUCCCAAAGCGGGAGAAAUGGGCUGUCAUUUGUUUCUGCACAUGAUGUCUUUUCGUACCUCACCCCUUUUCUCAGAUCAUUUGUCAAGGGUUCGCUGAUCUCUUCUUAUUAGUUACAGGGGCUACAACGAGACGGAACAAGAAUGUUUGACCGAGCAUAUAAUGUCAUGAGUCACGGGUUUAAUUUGGUCCCACCAGAAUCUCCGUGUGACCCCAAAACCUUCUAACAGCGCGGGGGCAAUCAGCAGAGGCUGCCGGCCAAACGCCGCGGACGGCGCUUCCCGGAGAGNNNNNNNNNNNNNNNNNNNNNNNNNNNNNNNNNNNNNNNNNNNNNNNNNNNNNNNNNNNNNNNNNNNNNNNNNNNNNNNNNNNNNNNNNNNNNNNNNNNNCGAGCGGUACGGAGCCCGAGCCUCGCUUCGGUGCGGCGAGAAGGAGAUCGCUUUGCUUGUUUCUGCUAAGCGCGAAGCACACCAAUAAUUAACAGGUUAAUCCUAACUGAUUUUUUAAAUCUAGGAAUAUUUUUAGGACGUUGCCCUUUGGGGAAAUAAAGGGAGUGUGCUAAUAGUGAAAAGUAUGUGUUUAUAUUUGGAGUAACAACAAUGCAGAAAUUAAAGAGAAUUAAGGAAGACAUCAAAAGUCCCCAUCCCAUUGCAGUUAUUAACUCCUCCGUUUCACUGCGUGCAGCCUUUCUGAGCGUGAGCAGCCCGAGAUGUGGCAUUGAAACGGACGGCUCCCUGAGCCCCUUCUAGCCGAGGCGGCCCCGCUGGCCGACAGGUAAAGCCCGCACAAAGGAUGAUUGUGCUCCCUCUAUAAAUACGGUUUGCUCAGGCACUCCCCGGGAGGGCCGGAGCAUUCAGCGCUGCCCUUUCUGCCGGUCCCGGGGAUGUACUGCUGCUGUGCUCCAUGCAUGCAUGCUGCCCCGGGACUCAGCUGCGAGGUUUUCAUUUUAAACAAGUUGUUAGAAGUUUGUUUGGCCUCGAAAUGCCCUAUGUGAUUUGAAGACGUUGAAAGGAAAAAAUGACUUACAUCUUUCUUGUGAAAUUGGAAUAUUAUUCUCAGCUUCCAAAAUAAAUGGAAAGUUUUAUUUUCUUACUGCCAUAGGGAGUGUGCUUUUAAAAAUGCAUUAUGGUUUUGAAUGUUUUCAGAUGCAAUUUGCAUUAUUUUGAAUGAGCCCCUUGAAUAGAGACAGAGUUUGCUAGAUAGUGACAUGUGUUAAGGAAGAUGUCCUCUCUGCUGGUGCUUUGGGACUGUGUAGAGAACCCCUAAACAGCUCUGAUAGGAGCAGGUAAUCUUCUCUUUCUUUGUUGGAAGAUCACACGGCAGUUUUCAUAGGAAGGUUUUCUUUUUAAGCAGCUGUUAAAUUCAGUGACUCUGAAUUUACUUAAUUUCUCUAUGCUAUCUACGCCUUAAUUUUGAAUAAACAUAUAUGAAUUACUACUUCUGCUUUGAUAUCUGUCAACUAAACCAAAUUCGUGUGCCAUUAUUUACAUGAAAUCUGAAGAGGUCAAAUCAGUUUACAGAGCACAUUGGUUGUUUUUCCAGUGGUGGAUCUUUUUUUCACUCUUUUAUAAAACUGUGAAACCACUUCCAAGACUCUUGAAAUCAAACCCAAAUCUUUCAGCACUGUAAGUUAUGGACAAGUGUACUCCAUACAGUGAACUCUGAUGAGCAGUAAUGUAUCUACAGAUCUCUUAAUUUAGAAUCUUAAGUUGGCUAUCAAAAAUAAAUGGUACUUCAGUUAAUUAUUUUUUCCCUAUUUUUUUUUCUUUGUUAUAAAAUAGUUCAUCUUUUCAAAGCCAAAAAAAGAAAAACAACAGAGCUUGCAGUGAGUACAAUACCAUCUCUGCACCUCUCAGAAUACGUUAAGCCUUGCUCUAUGUGCAAAGGUUUGAUAGCUAAGAUCUAUUAGAAUGAAGGUGGCAGUGUACUUUCAGAUUUCAAGGCAACGAAAGGGUUAACUCUAGAAAAAUUAAUUGUACCCAAUCCCAGAACAAUAGUAGCUGGGAGAUUGGAGGAGGGGUGAAUCACACAGCUGAGGGAGAGCCUGUUAGAUUGCAUGAGGAGGACUCUUGUUGCCUGCAGCCUGGCCAGCACUUCUCCCUACACAUGGAUUUCCAGGCUGCAGAGCCAAGGUACCAGCUAUGUCCAAGGGGAAUCUAACGAUGAAGGCAUUCUGCUCAAACGAGACAAUGAGAUGUGGUAUCUGCUUUUCAGCUUUCAUGAAUGGGAGUGUGGUCUCUUUUCCAAAAAUGAAACGAUUUGAAGCCAAAGGUGUUUCCACAAAAUGAAGAUCUCUGGUACCAACAGAUUUUUUGCUUUGGGCAGCUUAGGAUCUCUGGGUGCUGGCUGAAAGCAUGUCAGAGAAUUUAGACGUAUUGCUGGAUUUAAU
ensembl:lncRNA